UCCGUAGGGGUGACUGCGGAAGGAUCAUUG
rnacentral:rRNA from 1 species